rnacentral:rRNA from 1 species
UACAGAGGUCUCAAGCGUUUGUUCGGAUUCAUUGGGCGUAAAGGGUGUGUAGGUGGCGCCGUAAGUCAGGUGUGAAAUUUCGGAGCUUAACUCCGAAACUGCAUUUGAUACUGGCGUGCUUGAGGACUGGAGAGGAGACUGGAAUUCAUGGUGUAGCAGUGAAAUGCGUAGAGAUCAUGAGGAAGACCAGUGGCGAAGGCGGGUCUCUGGACAGUUCCUGACACUGAGGCACGAAGGCCAGGGGAGCAAACGGGG